UAGUCCACGCUGUAAACGAUGUCUACUUGGAGGUUGUUGUCUUGAAUGAUGGCUUUCGGAGCUAACGCGUUAAGUAGACCGCCUGGGGAGUACGGCCGCAAGGUUAAAACUCAAAUGAAUUGACGGGGGCCCGCACAAGCGGUGGAGCAUGUGGUUUAAUUCGAUGCAACGCGAAGAACCUUACCUACUCGUUGACAUCUACAGAAGCCAGCGGAGACGCAGGUGUGCCUUCGGGAGCUCUGAGACAGGUGCUGCAUGGCUGUCGUCAGCUCGUGUUGUGAAAUGUUGGGUUAAGUCCCGCAACGAGCGCAACCCUUAUCCUUGUUUGCCAGCGAGUAAUGUCGGGAACUCCAGGGANACUGCCGGUGAUAAACCGGAGGAAGGUGGGGACGACGUCAAGUCAUCAUGGCCCUUACGAGUAGGGCUACACACGUACUACAAUGGCAGAUACAAACCGUUUGCAAAGCCGCGAGGUUGAGCUAAUCGGUAAAACACUAGUCCCAGUCCGGAUUGG
rnacentral:rRNA from 1 species